UACGAAGGGGGCUAGCGUUGUUCGGAAUUACUGGGCGUAAAGCGCACGUAGGCGGACAUUUAAGUCAGGGGUGAAAUCCCGGGGCUCAACCCCGGAACUGCCUUUGAUACUGGGUGUCUAGAGUGUGGAAGAGGUGAGUGGAAUUCCGAGUGUAGAGGUGAAAUUCGUAGAUAUUCGGAGGAACACCAGUGGCGAAGGCGGCUCACUGGUCCAUUACUGACGCUGAGGUGCGAAAGCGUGGGGAGCAAACAGG
rnacentral:rRNA from 1 species